rnacentral:rRNA from 1 species
GACGAACGCUGGCGGCGUGCUUAACACAUGCAAGUCGAACGGAAAGGCCCUGCUUUUGUGGGGUGCUCGAGUGGCGAACGGGUGAGUAACACGUGAGUAACCUGCCCUUGACUUUGGGAUAACUUCAGGAAACUGGGGCUAAUACCGGAUAGGAGCUCCUGCUGCAUGGUGGGGGUUGGAAAGUUUCGGCGGUUGGGGAUGGACUCGCGGCUUACCAGCUUGUUGGUGGGGUAGUGGCUUACCAAGGCUUUGACGGGUAGUCGGCCUGAGAGGGUGACCGGCCACAUUGGGACUGAGAUACGGCCCAGACUCCUACGGGAGGCAGCAGUGGGGAGUAUUGCACAAUGGGCGGAAGCCUGAUGCAGCAACGCCGCGUGCGGGAUGACGGCCUUCGGGUUGUAAACCGCUUUCGCCUGUGACGAAGCGUGAGUGACGGUAAUGGGUAAAGAAGCACCGGCUAACUACGUG